GUGGAUUAGAUACCCUGGUAGUCCACGCCGUAAACGAUGUCGACUAGCCGUUGGGGACCUUCGUGUCCUUGGUGGCGUAGCUAACGCGCUAAGUCGACCGCCUGGGGAGUACGGUCGCAAGAUUAAAACUCAAAUGAAUUGACGGGGGCCCGCACAAGCGGUGGAGCAUGUGGUUUAAUUCGACGCAACGCGAAGAACCUUACCAGGUCUUGACAUCCAGAGAACUUUCCAGAGAUGGAUUGGUGCCUUCGGGAACUCUGAGACAGGUGCUGCACGGCCGUCGUCAGCU
rnacentral:rRNA from 1 species